rnacentral:rRNA from 1 species
UGGGGAAUAUUGCACAAUGGGCGCAAGCCUGAUGCAGCCAUGCCGCGUGUGUGAAGAAGGCCUUCGGGUUGUAAAGCACUUUCAGCGGGGAGGAAGGCGAUAAGGUUAAUAACCUUGUCGAUUGACGUUACCCGCAGAAGAAGCACCGGCUAACUCCGUGCCAGCAGCCGCGGUAAUACGGAGGGUGCAAGCGUUAAUCGGAAUUACUGGGCGUAAAGCGCACGCAGGCGGUCUGUCAAGUCGGAUGUGAAAUCCCCGGGCUCAACCUGGGAACUGCAUUCGAAACUGGCAGGCUAGAGUCGUGUAGAGGGGGGUAGAAUUCCAGGUGUAGCGGUGAAAUGCGUAGAGAGCUGGAGGAAUACCCGUGGCGAAGGCGGCCCCCUGGACAAAGACUGACGCUCAGGUGCGAAAGCGUGGGGAGCAAACGGG